CUGAUGCUCUACCAAGGUAGAGCAUCAGACUUUUAAUCUGAGGGUCCAGGGUUCAAGUCCCUGGUCAGG
rnacentral:tRNA from 1 species